AGGAAUGAGCUGUUAGAUGCUGCAAGUCCCCAACUGGAACUACACUAGUUUAGGGCUCGAGAUAGGCAGCUGUUGUGGUGUUGGCGUGACUGUCCGAAGUGUCUGGAGUCAAACUUCACGAGUUUCUUACUCCCAGCUCAACUGACCUCCUAAUUGAACCGACUACGGAAGGCGCACAAGGUACACCACUGAUGAGCAAGGAAAAGGAAUGGAGCCGAGGGCAGACUACUGCACCCAUGAGGUCGACACCACCCUCACUGCUGGGGGGCAGGCCGCAGCGACAACAACGGACACAGGGUCGACCCUGGGGAGUCGGCCUCGGUGAAGGCGGCUUCCUGCUUCCCACACCCGCCCUGGGGCCGGCCUUUCAGGCUUGGUCCCUGUGAGGGCAGGCUCCAGCAAUGAACAGUUUUACGACAUCGUGCACAGCACGAAAGUACUUGGGUGUACUUUCCCCUGCUGUACGAUCACCUCACAAGGACAUUGCACGGGGGAGGGGGGGACCCCUUGCCCUCUACGCUCUGGAUCGUCGCGAUGAUGCCCGUUGGCCUCACCAAGGACGCUGUUUAACUUGUAGUAUGUUAACUGCCUAGUAGAACAGCUAGUUUAACUUUAACUGUAAACAGUUUAACUGCCUAGUAGAUCGGGUUUGGUCCCUUUGUCAGUCGGGAGGAACCUGGUGGUUUUCAUUGCCCUCUCCUGGGAUGCGGGCACGGUUGCUGUCACAGGAACAAGUGAUCAUAUCCCUAGUUAAAGGUUGGCGAGGCACACUUGCCUUGCAAGGUCUAGUUGGUGGGCUCAUGCCUCUAUGCCCAUAUGGCACCUCACGUUGGCUUCAGCAAAGAAGCAGUUUCACUUGUAGCAUCUGUCUAGUAGACCCGGUUUGGUAACUUUUUCAGUCAGGGAAACCUGUCACAGGCAAGGUUACAGCCACUGCACGAGUAGUCACGUUCCUAGUUACAGCGGCCAGCCGCUGCAUUCGCCCUUCGGGGUUGGGGGUUCCGCGCCGCUGGCCCUCGCGGGAUUGGGGGUGCUCCGCCGGAACCCCCAAAGUGAUAAGCCUGCAGAUAGCUAAGAAAUAUUCCCAUGAAUUGUAAUUAGUGUAAUUAAAUUAAAGCAACUUACAUUUACUACCUAUAGAUGUAGUUAUUAAUUGUAAUUGAUUUAAUACUUUAUCAUUAUAAGGAUUAUUCAUUAUAAUUAUUCUUUAAUACUUUAUUGUUAUGCACUAGGCAAUAAUUAUUUAUCAUUCACCCUA